rnacentral:rRNA from 1 species
CCUACGGGAGGCAGCAGUGGGGAAUUUUGGACAAUGGGCGCAAGCCUGAUCCAGCCAUGCCGCGUGUGGGAAGAAGGCCUUCGGGUUGUAAACCACUUUUGUCAGGGAAGAAACGGUCUGAACUAAUACUUUGGACUAAUGACGGUACCUGAAGAAUAAGCACCGGCUAACUACGUGCCAGCAGCCGCGGUAAUACGUAGGGUGCAAGCGUUAAUCGGAAUUACUGGGCGUAAAGCGUGCGCAGGCGGCUUUGCAAGACAGAUGUGAAAUCCCCGGGCUCAACCUGGGAACUGCAUUUGUGACUGCAUGGCUAGAGUACGGUAGAGGGGGAUGGAAUUCCGCGUGUAGCAGUGAAAUGCGUAGAUAUGCGGAGGAACACCGAUGGCGAAGGCAAUCCCCUGGACCUGUACUGACGCUCAUGCACGAAAGCGUGGGGAGCAAACAGGAUUAGAUACCCUGGUAGUCCACGCCCUAAACGAUGUCAACUGGUUGUUGGGAGGGUUUCUUCUCAGUAACGAAGCUAACGCGUGAAGUUGACCGCCUGGGGAGUCGGCCGCAAGGUUGAAACUCAAAGGAAUUGACGG